UUGCCGGUGUGAGUCCGGUCCGGGUAGCUGCCAGGAGGCCCGGUAGCAGGCUGGCGGCAUCGGGGGGAAACGCCUGGUGUCGAAGCCCAGCGGCAAAGGCCCUUAUGGGGAGCGAGGAUGCGGUCCGUGGCAUGA
rnacentral:ncRNA from 1 species